CAACCUUUCAAUGUAGAUAACGAAGCCGCUUCACCUUUACUGGCUCCCGACGGCAAAACAAAGAGUUGGUCAGUUUUUGGAAAGACUCAGAACACUUAAGGUUACAGACAGGCAGUUCAUGACAUCCAAACGUUGCCAUCUAACCUCCUCUUGCGAAGAAGGAUUGGGGUAGAACGAUGGAAGAACCACUUCUUGAGAGAGAUGAAACUGAGAGACCACCUUAGGAAGAAACUCAGGUUUUAGCUUCAGGCACACCCUAUCAUGAUAGAAUUGUAGACAAGAAGGUAAGGUAGAAAAUGCUUUAAUCUCCGAAAUCCUUCUUGCGGAAGUAAUUGCCACCAAAAACAAAGUUUUAUGCGUCAGGAGGGUAGCAUCCAAACUCUCAAGAGGAACAAACAGAUCCUCCGUUAGGUAAUUGAGCACCAGAGGAAGGUCCCAAGGAGGGGUAGUAGAUCUGAAAGGAGGUCUCAACCUGAAAGCCGCCUUGAAGAACCUGGAGAUCAAAGGAUUCGAAGUCCAAGAUACGUUGCACAAAGCCGAAAGCGCCGAGGACUGGACCUUGAGAGUGGUGAGGCUAAGGCCCAUAUCCAGACCCUCUUGCAGGAACUCCAAGAUCUCCGUUUUGUGAGGAUGCAGGAAAUCAACAUUCUUGGCCGAAGCCCAUUCCCGGAACACAUCCAGGAUCCUAUGGUAGCAUGAGGAAGUAGAUGCUUUCCUUGAUUGCAAAAGAGUAUUGAUCACUGCUUCUGGGAGACCUAGUAGUUGAAGUCUUUCUUUUUCCAAGACUCACACCCCCAACUUGAGGCGUUCUGGAUGAGGAUGGAAUAUUGGGCCCUGCAUUAGUAGAUCCUCCAUAACAGGAAGAGGCCAAGGCCGUUCUUGGCUCA